CGGGGGCGUACAUACAGAGCUCUGAACGCACGUCUUUGGAUUACAGGUGUAGACGGCUCACUUCAGUCACAUCUGUGCAGCAGACGUUCUCUGAAGGUUGGGUACCACAUCACUGGUAAGGCUUGGAUUUCUAGAAAUGUUCUCUUAGUGUCUUAAUGGAGAUGCGCUGAGUACAGAAUUGCUGAAGAUAAACCCAGACAGUCAGAAUCAUCAGUUUCAACGCCAUCAAAGCUCUUUGCACUAUUUCUUUAAGGAAACUUAGUCUUCACUUGAACUCCUCCAGAACAUCACUCUUCCAGGUCUAAGUUCAAAUGGAUGCCACGUAUAUAUUAUUUGGGGUUCUCUGUAUUUCAUGUGCCUACUCAAGAAAAAUUUCCAUAGGAUUCAAAGCCACGUUACCAUGUGACCUACAGGAUGUCACUAUCGUCACCUGGUACCAACAGCGUCCUGGGGAGCAGCCUGUGACAAUACUGAGCCACAACAUUAAAUCAGUUCUUCCGCCAACUUACUAUAACGGAUUCAGCAGUGAACAAAUGAGCGUCAGCAACACAUCUCUGUUACUAGUCAUUGAAAACUCGGCUGAAGUUGAUUGUGUGGCUUAUUACUGUACAAAAAAAGAGAAUCAGGUGUUUGAGUUUGGAGCGCCAACCACUCCGGUAUGCCAA